CAUAAAAAGAAGAGAUAAGAGCAGGAAAUUUAAAUUUCAUCAUCUUUUUCUUUCAUUUUUUCUCUCUAUGACUUAACACUUUCCAUUCUCUCUAUCUUUUUCUUUCUCUUACUUUCACUCUUUUUAACUCUUUCGCAUUGGUUUAUCUCAUAAGAAAAUUGUCCCUCCAAUUCAGGUUUAUAGAUUAGAACAAAAGGAAAAAGAAUUGACAGAAGCACUAAGGAGACUUUAAAACUUCUGUUUUAACUUAGUUGUAUGUAAUAACUGAGUGUAUUUUAAUAGUUUGAAGUUUGAACCAAAUACUUUAAUAUUAAAAGGACCCUAAACUUCUUUUUCUCUUUGAAAAUUAAGCCCUACAAAUCAAAAAUUAAUUCAUUAGUUUCUAAAAUUUGUUGGCUACAUUUAGAAGUGUUUUUAAAUCCAACCCAAAAUUUGGAAGCUAAAAAAAUAGUUUUUGGUUAUAAAAUUUGUCUAACAUGCAUCUCAUUGUGUUGGGUUUGUUUCUAAUUUGAUUUUAGGCCCAAUCUUAAGUGCUAGACAAUUUGUGUAAAGCUUGGAUAGGAGUAUAAUCGGGUUGGCUUGGGUUGGAUUGAGAGACAUUCUCAAGCCAACCCAUAUUUUGAGUUAUUUUGGUUCACAACCCGAAUUAAGUUUUCAACCCAACCCGUGAAAUAUGGGAUGAGUUGGGUUGGGUUGACAAGUUUUUUUUUUUUUUAGAGAUGUGAGAUCGAAAACGGAUAGAUCUGAGAUCAGAGACGAAGAGAUCUGAGAUCGGAAACAUAGAGAUCUAAGAUUGGAGACAGAUCAAUUUUAUGUUUGACUAGGACGGAGGAGAUCAGAGAUGUCUAAGAUUGGAGAUAUCAGAGACGGAGGAGAUGUCGAAGGAGACGAAGGAGAUCGGAGGAGACAGAGGAACUAAGAUCUAAGAUCAGCCUGACGGAGGACAUGAAGGAGGAGAGACGAAGGCAAUGUCAGAGGAGAGACAAAGAAGACGAAGGAGGAGAGAGGGAGCUGAGACGAAGGAGACGUCGGAGAUGUUGUGGUGCGAAAGGGAAAGCCGACGGUGAAUUACGUGACGGCGUGAGAAUUGAGGAAAAGAUUUUCGCAUGAAUCGCGUGGGAGAAAACUUGAUCUAAUCUCCUUUUAUUAUUAUUAUUAUUAUGUAUUAUAUUAAUUCAGGUUGGGUUGGCUUGAAUCAAAAUUUUCAACCUCCAACCCGACAACCAACCCAACCCGAAAAAAUCCUAUUCUUUUUAACCCAACCCAACCCAACCCACAUUUUAACAUAACCCAACCCAAUUUUUACAAUAUGGGUUGAGUAGUCCGGGUUAUUCGGGUUCAACCCAUAUUUUUACACCCCUAAGCUUGGAGGAGAAGAUGUCACGUCUCUUGUGAUGACAGUAGUACACGUGUAUGAAGAUCACACACACCACAAAUGAAGAUGAAGGAGAAGAAUAAAGAGACUACAAGAUUUACAUGGUUGGGGCAAUGAAAGCCUACAUCCACGGAAAGGAUCUCUUUCUUUGAUGUUUGAAGAUAAGGACAAUAGUUUUGCUUCUCUUUUUCUUUUUUCUAUAUCUACUUGUAAAAGUGAGUGUAUGUAAAACUUAUAUUAUUUUUUUAAUACACCUUUAUAUUUAUAGUUGUUUUCAGAGAUAAGAAAGUUAACAGAAAAUUGAAAACCAAUGUUGUUUGAA